GAACGAAGCAAUUAAGAUGAAGUUUUCGGAUGGAAUCUUGAUUGACUGAGUGGCGGACGGGUGAGUAACGCGUGGAUAACCUGCCUCACACUGGGGGAUAACAGUUAGAAAUGACUGCUAAUACCGCAUAAGCGCACAGUGCCGCACGGCAGUGUGUGAAAAACUCCGGUGGUGUGAGAUGGAUCCGCGUCUGAUUAGCCAGUUGGCGGGGUAACGGCCCACCAAAGCGACGAUCAGUAGCCGACCUGAGAGGGUGACCGGCCACAUUGGGACUGAGACACGGCCCAAACUCCUACGGGAGGCAGCAGUGGGGAAUAUUGCACAAUGGGCGAAAGCCUGAUGCAGCGACGCCGCGUGAGUGAAGAAGUAUUUCGGUAUGUAAAGCUCUAUCAGCAGGGAAGAAAAUGACGGUACCUGACUAAGAAGCCCCGGCUAACUACGUGCCAGCAGCCGCGGUAAUACGUAGGGGGCAAGCGUUAUCCGGAUUUACUGGGUGUAAAGGGAGCGUAGACGGCGAAGCAAGUCUGAAGUGAAAACCCAGGGCUCAACCCUGGGACUGCUUUGGAAACUGUUUUGCUAGAGUGUCGGAGAGGUAAGUGGAAUUCCUAGUGUAGCGGUGAAAUGCGUAGAUAUUAGGAGGAACACCAGUGGCGAAGGCGGCUUACUGGACGAUAACU
rnacentral:rRNA from 1 species